rnacentral:rRNA from 1 species
UGAGCAAUCUGCCCUUCUCAUCGGAAUAAGCGUUGGAAACGACGUCUAAUGCCGAAUACGACCUCCUUUCGCAUGAUCGGAGGUGGAAAGCUCCGGCGGAGAAGGAUGAGCUCGCGGCCUAUCAGCUAGUUGGUGUGGGUAACGCCCACCAAGGCGACGACGGGUAGCCGGCCUGAGAGGGUGACCGGCCACACUGGGACUGAGAUACGGCCCAGACUCCGUACGGGAGGNAGCG